UACGUAGGGAGCAAGCGUUGUCCGGAAUCAUUGGGCGUAAAGAGCGCGUAGGCGGCCGUGUAAGUCCGCUCUGAAAGUCAAAGGCUCAACCUUUGAAAGCGGGUGGAUACUGCACGGCUAGAGUCCGGAAGAGGCGAGUGGAAUUCCUGGUGUAGCGGUGGAAUGCGCAGAUAUCAGGAGGAACACCAACGGCGAAGGCAGCUCGCUGGGACGGUACUGACGCUGAGGCGCGACAGCGUGGGGAGCAAACAGG
rnacentral:rRNA from 1 species